CUUUUUAAAUUCUCGGCAUAGUGUAAUGAUUACUAUUCCAAAACAGAAGAUAUGUUGGCAAACUGCCCUGUAUUUGAAAAUAGAGGAAAUGCCCUGGAAAGAAUGAGAUGUGGUAAAGAGAGGAAAUGACAAUGUACUGAAAAGACUGGGCUGUAAGUCAUCACAGCGGCGCCCUGAAACCCGAUAUGUCAGGCAAGCUGGUGGGAUCCUGGGAUCCCUCAUGUAACGGCACUCAUUCUGACAGAAGCAGAGAUAAAACAGACUAAGUACACAGAGGAGUUUAAGGUUUCGUGAAUGUAAGUGCUGAGUACAGAAUGGUGCUCAAUAAAAGCUUGUUAAUUGAUGGACCACAGGUUUGUGACAAGACUUCUCAGAGUCUGAUUCUUUCAAGGUGGGAUAUAAGAGUAAGAUACCUUGACUAUGAAUAAUAGUUUCAAUAAGGAAGACAGAAUGAGUUCUGACACGAUGGUUGGGAGCUGUGACAGGCAGACGAAAAAUGGAGCCAAAUGGCAUGGAGGUGUCAUGAUGUUGGAACAGUAACAAUAACUCAACCAACCAGGGCUUGUCUGAAUACAAUCCUACAGCAGCAGGAGCUGUGGAGAUAUAGAAGGCAAGGAAGACCAGGUUGUGAGGGAAGACGAAUUUACUCCCAGGAAUGUUGGGAUUGAGAGUAAUAUUCUCCAAUAAUGGUGGAAGACAGAACAAUAAAAGCCCACCAGCUCCUUCUGCAUGGUGGGAUAAGAGAAAAGCCAAGGGCAGAAGUGAGAAAAAUAACCAUCACCAAACUGAAAAGAAAACCUUUAUAAAAAAACUGGAUUGAUAAAUGACCUUUAGUAGUGGAAAGAUACCAUUCCAAUGAAGCAUGAAUUGAAAGGAUUUCUUCUGAAAGCUAAUUUACAUUUUUCUUUUUUUUUUUUUCAUUUUCAGUGUGUUUUAGCAGGUGUAUUGUUCUACAUGGUUAGUUUCUUUACCUCUUUGAGAAAAAUGGGUCAGCUUGACACAUCUGGAUGAAAGAAUCCGUUAGGUGAUUAUGAUUGAAGACAGAUUAAGCCUUGUUAUGAGGGGAAUAUUUGGGGGCUUACCCUGAGGUGAUAUUUGAUGAUUUAGCUGUGGGAGAAUUUCCCUCCCAAGAUCAGCGUGACUGACACUGAAAUUGCUACAGGGGAACCGGACCUUUCCAAGAGGUGACAAGGACAUUUACCUGGUACAACACAAUGGUUCUGGACUGGAAGUCUAGUCCCAUUGAUGAAGUUCCCAAAAGAUGUCCAGGUCCUAAUCCCUGGAAUCUGUGAAUAUGUCAUCUUACACAUCAAAAGAACUUUGAAAAUGUGAUUGAGGUUAAGGACCUUGGAAUGAGGAGAUUACCUUGGAUUAUCUGGUUGGGUCCAAGCUAAUCACAUGAGUCCUUAAAGGAGAAGAACCUUUUUUAGCUGGGUCAGAGAGAGAUGUGAUGAUGAAAACAGGCUCAGGGAGAUGCACUGUAAGAAGGGCUUGACCAGUUGUUUUUGACUUUGAAGAUGGAGGGAAGGGCCAGGAGCCAAGGAAGGUGGGUGGCUUUUGGAAGGUGGAAAAAGCAAGGGAACAUUCUCUCCAGAGCCUCCAGAAAGGAGCUCAGCCCUGUUGACAUCUGGCUUCCUACUGACAUCUUAACUUUAGUGCAGUGAGACUCAUAUUUGAAUUUCUGACCUUAUAUUAUAGAACCAUAAGACAUUAUAGAAUUAUAUAGAAUUAUAGAACCAUAAGACAAUAACUUUGUGUUGUUUUAAGAUACUAAAUUUUUGGUAAUUUGUUAUGGCAGCACAAUAAAACCAAUAUAGCAUUAUAUUAUGCCAAUAUCAUCUCUUUGUUGACUAUUGCUAUUAUAGUUUGUUUUAUGGGUCUUGUGUAAACAAUCAAGCUAUAAUAUUGGGUUAACUCCCUAAGGAAAACUUGGAAUAUAGAACAUUAUUUUAAAGACUGAAUUAGGUAAAUACACCUGCCAGUGAAUACAUUAACAAAUUAAUUAAUAUAUUCACUCUUUUCACUCACAAAUACUUUUUGAGCCCCUAUUACUAGCCAAACAUUUUGUUAGAUUCUGAGAAGGGUCUGCUAGACAACAUUGUGACUAUAGUUAAUAACAAUAUAUUGUACUCUUGAAAAUUACUAAGAGAGUAGAUUUUAAGUGUUCUCACCACAAAAAAUAAGUAUGUGAGGUAAUGCAGAUGUUAGUUAGCUUGAUUUAGCCAUUCCCCAGUGUAUACAUAUUUCAAACCUUCAUAUUAUACAUGGAUAAAUAUAUACAAUUUUUAUUUGUCAAUUAAAAGCCCCUCGAUGAAUACAGUUUCCAUUCUGUCCUUGAGGUGGAGCUUGUAGACUUGGUGGGGUCCGGGGAUCAACUUUUAAACAGGCAGUUCCAAAGUGUGGAGUGGAUAGGCUUAUUCUCUUUGUUGCUUUUAUGAUAGGUAUUUAGAAUGCACUUUCCUCUGUUAAGUUAAGCCAGCCACCAUUCCCUCAUUCAGUUUCCAUCCUCCAUGAAUUUGCUCACAUCUGCGGUCUACUGUCACUCAUUCUUUCCUUCUCUUCCUGAGGGCUUGUGUGACUUAUGUUCUUGGCUUUCUCUUAGGAACAUGGUGCAGCUUGGCCCUGCAUUAUCCAUCUGGAAAAACAGAUCAUAAAACAGUCCUUCUCUGUACUAAGUGCUAAAGUAGGAGGAAGGGCAUAAGUCAGCUCCCUGAGCUAUAUAUCCUUGUUUUCAGGAGCUGAGCUAGACACAAGCAGAACUUGCAAAUAAUUUACAUUUCUUUCUGCUGAGGUGGUUCAGAAUAAGUUGCAACAAACAUGAACAGGAAUGGUGCAGUAAAU
rnacentral:lncRNA from 1 species